UACAGAGGGGGCAAGCGUUGUUCGGAAUUACUGGGCGUAAAGGGCGCGUAGGCGGCCUGUUAAGUCGAACGUGAAAUCCCCGGGCUCAACCCGGGAACUGCGUCCGAUACGGGCAGGCUCGAGUUCGGUAGGGGAGACUGGAAUUCCUGGUGUAGCGGUGAAAUGCGCAGAUAUCAGGAGGAACACCGAUGGCGAAGGCAGGUCUCUGGGCCGAUACUGACGCUGAGGAGCGAAAGCGUGGGGAGCGAACAGG
rnacentral:rRNA from 1 species